rnacentral:rRNA from 1 species
GGGUGUGAUCAACCAGCACUAAUGCAUCAUAUCGAAUCAGUCAUCCCUAGUUAAGCGUGCUUCGGCGAGAGUAGUACUAGGAUGGGUGACCUCCAAGGAAGUCCUCGUGUUGCACCCC